UUAAGAGUUGAUUAUCUGCAGCUGUGGCACCUGAUGAUUGGUCUAUUUAAGCCUCAGAUGUUGGUUACACCUUCAGCUGUGACAAGAACCAUGGGAGGUGUUUGGAUUCUGAUCUUAUGCACAGUGACUUUUUGGCAUAAAGGCUCUUGCUUGCCACUUGAUCAAAAUGGAGGCACACAAUCUAAAGAACAGAGGACAAACUUCUGGUCACCAAAUGAAGUUCCUCUGAAGAGGACCAUUACUUCACUCCAGUUACUGGAAUCCAGGUUGAGGCAAACGCCAAAAAAAGUUCAACUGGACACCAAUGAAGUGGAAUUCCUUGGUGACGCCGCCCACAAUGUGUCAAGUGACGCCGCCCACAAUGUGUCAAGUGACGCCGCCCACAAUGUGUCAAGUGACGCCGCCCA